GGCAGAGGAAUAUUCCGGAUCCAACGGGGAGAAAAUUGCUCCCUCCGUAGGAGAGGAACGAAACUCUCCGCCGCCCCCUCCCCAAUAAAAAGGUCGCUGACAAGACAGAGAUUUAAUUUAAACAUAAACCAUAUAGAGGAAACCAUAGCAACAAAACAAGAGGAUACCAAAUAAAAAGAACGAUGUCAUGGGCAUGUAACACAUCUUGAAAUGAAUAAACACCAUCCACAUCAAAAAGCCCUUAGCAGGAGGCUACUGAACAACAGUUACAACAAAAAUCAUCAUUAACUUGGUGAAAAGGUUACAUGGACAAACUACCACCAUGGACACUUGAAAGCAACCUCUCAUGCAUUCUACAUUUAGAAGCUGCCCCUUCCAUGCUUGAGGGCAGGGGCUUUCCAAAUCAGCAGACAUGACAUCCAGACAGGCCCAAGCCCUGCUGUUUCCCUUCAUAAAUAAAUGGCUGAGCCGAGCCAAGCUUCA